rnacentral:rRNA from 1 species
AGCAGCCGCGGUAAUUCCAGCUCCAAUAGCGUAUAUUAAAGUUGUUGCAGUUAAAAAGCUCGUAGUUGAAUUUCGGAAUCAAUAUAUCGGUCAUGCUUAGGUAUGUACUGGUAUUAUUGAUUUCUCCCUUCUGAAGAACCAUGAUGUCAUUAAUUUGGUGUCGUGGGGAAUCAGGACUGUUACUUUGAAAAAAUUAGAGUGUUUAAAGCAGGCAUACGCUUGAAUACAUUAGCAUGGAAUAAUGAAAUAGGACGUUUGAUUCUAUUUUGUUGGUUUCUAGGAUCGACGUAAUGAUUAAUAGGGAUAGUUGGGGGCAUUAGUAUUCAAUUGUCAGAGGUGAAAUUCUUGGAUUUAUUGAAGACUAACUACUGCGAAAGCAUUUGCCAAGGAUGUUUUCAUUAAUCAAGAACGAAAGUUAGGGGAUCGAAGACGAUCAGAUACCGUCGUAGUCUUAACCAUAAACUAUGCCGACUAGGGAUCGGAUGAUGUUAAUUUUUUAAUGACUCU